rnacentral:rRNA from 1 species
GUGGGGAAUCUUGCGCAAUGGGCGAAAGCCUGACGCAGCCAUGCCGCGUGAAUGAUGAAGGUCUUAGGAUUGUAAAAUUCUUUCACCGGGGACGAUAAUGACGGUACCCGGAGAAGAAGCUCCGGCUAACUUCGUGCCAGCAGCCGCGGUAAUACGAAGGGGGCUAGCGUUGCUCGGAAUUACUGGGCGUAAAGGGCGCGUAGGCGGACAGCUUAGUCAGAGGUGAAAUCCCCGGGCUCAACCUUGGAAUUGCCUUUGAUACUGGCGGUCUUGAUUUUGGGAGAGGUGAGUGGAACUCCGAGUGUAGAGGUGAAAUUCGUAGAUAUUCGGAAGAACACCAGUGGCGAAGGCGACUCACUGGCCCAUUACUGACGCUGAGGCGCGAAAGCGUGGGGAGCAAACAGGAUUAGAAACCCUGGUAGUCC